rnacentral:rRNA from 1 species
UACGGAGGGGGCAAGCGUUGUUCGGAAUGACUGGGCGUAAAGGGCGCGUAGGCGGAUCGUCAAGUCAGAGGUGAAAGCCCCGGGCUCAACCCGGGAGGUGCCUUUGAAACUGACGGUCUUGAGUACGGGAGAGGUGAGCGGAAUUCCCAGUGUAGAGGUGAAAUUCGUAGAUAUUGGGAAGAACACCAGUGGCGAAGGCGGCUCACUGGCCCGUAACUGACGCUGAGGCGCGAAAGCGUGGGGAGCAAACAGG